rnacentral:rRNA from 1 species
UGAAUACGAGACGCUAAGGCGUCGAAGUAGUGUAUGUCAUACUUCCAAGAAAAGCUUGCACUGUCAUAGAUAAAAAACGCCUGUACCAUAACCGACACAGGUGGGUAGGUAGAGUAUACUAAGGGGCGCGAGAUAACUCUCUCUAAGGAACUCGGCAAAAUGACUCCGUAACUUCGGGAGAAGGAGUGCCUUAUUCUUAAGGUUGCAAUAACAAGAUCCAAGCAACUGUUUAUCAAAAACACAGGUCUCCGCUAAGUCGUAAGACGAUGUAUGGGGGCUGACGCCUGCCCAGUGCCAGAAGGUUAAAGAAGUUGGUUAGCAUUUGCGAAGCUGAUAACUGAAGCCCUGGUGAACGGCGGCCGUAACAAUAACGGUCCUAAGGUAGCGAAAUUCCUUGUCGGGUAAGUUCCGACCCGCACGAAAGGCGUAAUGAUUUGGAUACUGUCUCGGAGAGGGGCUCGGUGAAAUAGACUUGUCUGUGAAGAUGCGGACUACCUGCACCAGGACAGAAAGACCCUAUGAAGCUUUACUGUAACUUGAAAUUGAAAUUGGACUUUAUUCGCGCAGUAUAGGUGGGAGGCGUUGAUUAUAAUCUUGCGGGAUUAUUGGAGCCAUCAGUGAGAUACCACCCUUGUAAUGUUAGAUUUCUAACUUUGAAUCAUUAUCUGGUCAAAGAACAGUUUCAGGCGGGCAGUUUGACUGGGGCGGUCGCCUCCUAAACGGUAACGGAGGCGUACAAAGGUUUCCUCUGAACGGUUAGAAAUCGUAUCUAGAGUGUAAAGGCAUAAGGAAGCUUGACUGUGAGACCUACAAGUCGAGCAGGGACGAAAGUCGGUCUUAGUGAUCUGACGGUACUGAGUGGAAAGGCCGUCACUCAACGGAUAAAAGUUACUCUAGGAUAACAGGCUGAUCUCCCCCAAGAGUUCACAUCGACGGGGAGGUUUGGCACCUCGAUGUCGGCUCAUCGCAUCCUGGGGCGGUAGUACGUCCCAAGGGUUGGGCUGUUCGCCCAUGAAAGCGGUACGCGAGCUGGGUUCAGAACGUCGUGAGACAGUUCGGUCCAUAUCCGGAGUAGGCGUUAGAAUAUUGAGAGGAGCCUUCUUUAGUAUGAGAGGACCGAGAAGGACAUACCUCUGGUGUACCAGUUAUCGUGCCAACGGUAAACGCUGGGUAGCUAUGUAUGGAGUGGAUAACCGCUGAAAGCAUCUAAGUGGGAAGCCCACCUCAAGAUAAGUAUUCUCAUC